ACGGCUGUCUCUCACUGUCUCAGAUCCAACAGGUCUUCUCAUCAAAGUGGUCGUCCUGCCGCUGACUCUGCUGUUGGUGAUCGCUGCCCUGUGUUUCUACCGUAAGGCCAGCAGGGGGCAGAAGCCGGGCAGGCAGGAGGACAUCGAGCUGGAUUAUUAUAACCCGGGUGUUUCUGCAGCUGAAGAGGAAGGAGCUCAGGGAGCAGAGUAGGACCUCCAAGGAGCUCAUCUCAUCUGCCUCACAACCCACCAUCAGCUCAGUCCAGGAUUUUACUCUUUUCUAGUGAUGGAUAAGCCUCUGGUUCUGGUUCUUGGGGGGCCUUCACAGACACAGUUUGACUGCCUGACACAUUUACAAGCCAUAUAGUAACAUGAUUUGCCUUCAGAGUGAUAAUGGUUAACUGCUGAGCUCAUAUUACAAAAGUAGAACAUUUGAAGAAAGAUGUUUAAUUUGAGAUACUGUCUUUAUUUCUUUAAUAAGUCCUGUAUCGCUGCAUCUCUUGUGCCGGACCUCAUCUUUGCCUCUAGAAACCUUUGUGUGAUGCAGAGGGGAAGGUCAAGAGUUUUACUUUUUACGCUUCUAUCAUUUUUAGUCAACGUUAAGACUUGUCUUCUGUAAGGACGUCUCAUGUAUGCAUUCCCUGAUGACAUCAAGAUAAUCAUUUUAAUCAGGAAAGAAGGCACUAUUUGCCUAAACGUCAGCAGCCACUGUGAAAAUGAAAGCAACAUCAUUUUGAGAUUAAAGAACAGAAGGAAGGUUUUUCUUUAAAAAA